rnacentral:rRNA from 1 species
UACGGAGGGUGCAAGCGUUAAUCGGAAUUACUGGGCGUAAAGCGUGCGCAGGCGGUUUGUUAAGUCCGUUGUGAAAGCCCCGAGCUCAACUUGGGAAUUGCAGUGGAUACUGGCAGGCUGGAGUACGGUAGAGGAAGGUGGAAUUCCCGGUGUAGCAGUGAAAUGCGUAGAGAUCGGGAGGAACACCAGUGGCGAAGGCGGCCUUCUGGACCAAUACUGACGCUCAUGCACGAAAGCGUGGGGAGCAAACAGG